rnacentral:lncRNA from 1 species
GAAAGGGAAUAUCCAUUGCUCUGUGGUAUCUCUUUCAGGAUGUUACAGCCAAUGCCCAAGCCAGAAAACAGAACAGUAGUUUUGGUGAACAGCCCUCGACCCACAACCCCUCUACAGAGACUGAUAACUCAUGUGCUUCCGGAACCACUGACGCCUGCUCUAGCUCCUGUACCACACACAGGCUCAGUAUUGCCAGGGCCUUUGCAGACCACCACACUCCCUGCCUCAGUGUCUCUCCCUGUGCUUGUCCCGAUGCCUCCUUCACCUGUGACCAUGACAGUACCAGUGCCGCCUCCUGCCAAACCACAGACCUCAACUCUAGUGCCUACUUCAAGUCAGAACAACCCAGCUGCUGCUCUGCUGCAGAGCCAGGCCUCUGUUCCUCAAGUGCUGCCCAUGGCAAUGACUGCAGCUCAGCUGGUCCCAGAUACUCUGCAGCCUCCCCUCUCACCACCACCUGUUUCUCCUACCACAACCACCGCCUCCUCUCUUAAGGCUGCACCAGUCCCAGUCCCAAUGGGGCAGCAGCCCACAGUUAGCAGCUUGAGUGCCACCCCAGUGCGACAGCAACGACCCAUUAAUACUUUGUGUAUCACUUCUGUCCAACAGCAGCCCCCCAUCAGCACCCUGGGUAUUAGUCCUGUGGCUCAGCAACCACCCACCAACACUCAAUCCAUUAAUACACUUAGCAUAUCCCCCAUUAACACUCUGGGGGUGUCCCCUGUAGGGGGGCAGCAGCCUCCACCAACCAGCACUUUGGGCCCAGGACCUGCAGGCGCUACCGCUCAACAAUCCACCGGCUCCAUUGUGGGCAUGGUGAAGCCCAUGAACAUCCAUUCUGCUGUACCUACCUUGCCUGGAUACAACUUUGCAGCAGCUGCCGGAGGUGUGCAGCAUCGGCUUUUGCUGUGCCCAGAUAUGCAGGCACGAUUGCCUUGUAAGUAUUAAGAAGCCAGCAAAACACAGGCAAUCACCAUGAAGCUUUGAAAAUCUAACCCUCCUUUCCCCCAAAGCAGGUGAAGUAGUCAGCAUUGGGAAACUUGCCUCGUUGGCUAAUCAGCCUCUCCAAGGUGCCCCAGGCAGUAAACGCCUCACAUUCCAGAUCCAAGGCAACAAGCUUACCUUGACGGGUACCCAAGUUCGCCAGGUCACAAUGCCUCAGCCAGCCCGACAGCUGCCAAGUAGGUAAACCCCAGUCUUUAGCAUCCCCAAUGACUCCCUUCUGUCUUGAAUAAGACAGAUUUGGGUAACCUUUGCUAAGGGUAGGGUAGGGUAGAGUAGAGUAGAGUAGAGUAGAGUAGAGUAGAGUAGAGUAGGGUGUAGAGUAGAGUAGAAAAAAUGGAAUGGAAUAAUAGAAGAGUAGGAUAGAAUAGAAUAGGGAAUAUAGAGAGUAGAGUAGAGUAAAACAACAUAACAGAACAAUAAUAGGGAAUGGGAAUAGAAUUCUUUAUUUGCCAAGUGUGAUUGGACACAGAAGGAAUUUGUCUCUGGUGUAUAAGUUGUUAGUGUACAUGGAAGCAACAAGUGAUAAAUCAUGAUCAUAAUCAUAAAAUACAAUCAUCAUAAAUCAUAAGAUACAACACUCAGUGACAGUCAUAGGAUACUAAAUGUGCAAUCAAGCUAAUUCAUGGGAUGCUGAAUAAAAACAACAUAAACCAUAAGAUAUAAACAGCAAAAUUAUAGUCAUAAGAAGUUAGAGAAAUAGAUAAUAGGUAAGAUGAGAAGGAUAAUAGUAAUACUAUCCUUCUCAUCUUAUUAAGCUAAUUAUUAUUA